GUCGGUAAAACUCGUGCCAGCCACCGCGGUUAUACGAGAGGCCUAAGUUAACAGACACCGGCGUAAAGAGUGGUUAAGGAGAAAUCAAAACUAAAGCCGAAUAACCUCAAGACUGUUAUACGUUCCCGAGGACAAGAAGCCCAACUACGAAAGUGGCUUUAAUUUUCCCGACUCCACGAAAGCUGUGAAACAAACUGGGAUUAGAUACCCCACUAUG
rnacentral:rRNA from 1 species